UACGUAGGGGGCAAGCGUUGUCCGGAAUCAUUGGGCGUAAAGCGCGCGUAGGCGGCCCGGUAAGUCCGCUGUAAAAGUCAAAGGCUCAACCUUUGAAUGCCGAUGGAUACUGCCGGGCUAGAGUCCGGAAGAGGCGAGUGGAAUUCCUGGUGUAGCGGUGGAAUGCGCAGAUAUCAGGAGGAACACCGAUAGCGAAGGCAGCUCGCUGGGACGGUACUGACGCUAAGGCGCGAAAGCGUGGGGAGCGAACAGG
rnacentral:rRNA from 1 species